UACGUAGGGGGCAAGCGUUGUCCGGAUUUAUUGGGCGUAAAGAGCGUGUAGGCGGCCAGACAGGUCAGCUGUGAAAACUCGAGGCUCAACCUCGAGACGUCGGUUGAAACCGUCUGGCUAGAGUCCGGAAGAGGAGAGUGGAAUUCCCGGUGUAGCGGUGAAAUGCGCAGAUAUCGGGAAGAACACCCGUGGCGAAGGCGGCUCUCUGGGACGGUACUGACGCUGAGGAGCGAAAGCCAGGGGAGCGAACGGG
rnacentral:rRNA from 1 species